rnacentral:rRNA from 1 species
GAUGAACGCUAGCGGCAGGCUUAAUACAUGCAAGUCGAGGGGCAGCAUGAUUGUAGCAAUACAAUUGAUGGCGACCGGCAAACGGGUGCGGAACACGUACACAACCUUCCAACAAGUGGGGGAUAGCCCAGAGAAAUUUGGAUUAAUACCCCGUAACAUAGCGAUGUGGCAUCACAUUGCUAUUAUAGAUUUUUCGCUUGUUGAUGGGUGUGCGGCUGAUUAGAUAGUUGGCGGGGUAACGGCCCACCAAGUCUACGAUCAGUAGCUGAUGUGAGAGCAUGAUCAGCCACACGGGCACUGAGACACGGGCCCGACUCCUACGGGAGGCAGCAGUAAGGAAUAUUGGACAAUGGACGCAAGUCUGAUCCAGCCAUGCCGCGUGAAGGAUUAAGGUCCUCUGGAUUGUAAACUUCUUUUAUAAGGGACGAAAAAAGGCUUUUCUAAGUCGUCUGACGGUACCUUAUGAAUAAGCACCGGCUAACUCCGUGCCAGCCGCCGCGGUAACAC